CCACGUCGUAUGGAGGAGCAUGCUUAUCCCAGCUAUUUGCUAGCGAAAAGAAAACCCUCAAGGGGCGGCGGCCAACCUCUCCCUCUCCUGAGAUCUCGCCUCCUUGAUCCUUGACUGAUUCUUCCCAUCGGCCCCAUCCUGCUCUACGAAUCCCUUUCCACCUGCGGCCUUAGGAUCCAGCAACAAGGUUGUGGGAGGCACGUCAUGGUGACAUCUUGAUGCGCCCAAUCCAGCCCCAUAUCCUGAUGCAGGACGUGAAAGGAUCUUCCUGUCAGCACCAUCUUACUCUGCGAUGUCCUCUCCACCUGCAAGGUCCAUACGAUCCAGCGGCAACAAGGUUGAGGAAGGCAUUCUAGCCUAAAAUCUCCUGCUGUAGAUUUUGUUCCCUGUCCUGUGAUUCCGGCCGUAAGGUAUUCCACCCCUCAUCCAAAUAAUUUUAAUUUUUGUCAUAUAGAUGCAGAUCACUGGAAUAAUUUCGGUGAUCCCACACUUUUUCCAUGGAUUAUUUGGGACAUAUUGUGUUCUUCGUGAAAUUUUUGAGUUCUGAUUAGUGAAAUUGAUCUUACAUAUCUGAUGGAUUGAUGUAAGAGAGCGGAUCACCUCGGCUGGAAUGUGUUUGGUAAAAUGCCAAUAUGGAAAGUUUAUAUGACAGCAACAAUUGUGGUGUCAUUCUUCUCUAGUCAAUAGAUUACUCCACUUAAAUAUUUAUUGUAUCAAUUCAUCGGAUGGUGAUAUUCAAAUGAUGUUUUUGGAUUUAUGUCAGAAAUUAUAAGAACCUAUCAAAAUGCAUGAUUCUGUUGCAUCAUUAAUAUAUACUUUUUCUGUUAGUGAAAAUACUUGACAUUUCAACUCACUCCAUUCUUUUGUCAAAAGAGAACUCACUCCAUUCGUUACAGGAUUGCUGGACGAUUUAGUCUGAACUCUGAAGACCAACUGCUGCUAUAACAUUUGCACUUACCGUUUCACAAUCAGGCACUAACCUAAAAUGAUUGCAGUGUGACUACUUACUAUCCAACUCUGCAAGGCAAAGCUUAGUAUACUAACCAUUUCUCAUUUUUUUUAUUAUUUAGUUGUGUACUUGUGUUGUUUAACGUGCGCAUUGACAUGUCUGAGUAUUCCAUUUGUUCAUUAGAAAUGCUCACUGAAAUACCUUAAAAUUACUGAAAUGCUCAGAUGUGUUAAAUAUGUGUACUACUUGGACUAAGAUUCUUGCUCAAAAUUUAUAAUUUUUUUGUGGUUGCUACCAGUUUCUCAAAGGAUCUCCCAAUUGUACAUUCUUAUUUCCAGAGAAUUCUUCAUACUGGGCGUGCAAAUGUUAGGUAAAACAUAUAUACUAUAUCUAGGCUCUUGGAAUGAUCAAUUCUUGCAUGGCCGAAAGGAUGCAGAUGAAAAGUGAAGAAGGAAUUGACAAAUUAUGUUGAAUGUGAGCCUGGAGAAGAUUGUGAAAUCAAACAUAUUUAUUUGACAAUCAUUAUGUAUUCUACAGUAUAUUUCGAUGGUUCUAGAUUCCAGCUUAGUUGAUUGUAGUAGCAAAACAUGUAUAUAUGGCCGUGAUAUAAUUAUUUAUAUUAACAAAAUAGCCAUGUAAGAGCUGUUUAUGAUGUGUUCUUA